AAUGGGUCCUGCUGAGGCCACCAUGGCCAUAGGUCUCAGGGACUCCGUCCACAGGCUGGAGUCACUGAGCCCAGGCCACAUUCCCUGUGUUGCUCUACACAGAUAUGAGACCACUGGCCACUCUGUGGCUCUGAAAAACAUGAUGAAAACAUCUUGUUCAUAUUUUCGUUCACUAAAAGCAGAGCCAAGGCAUUCAGGAAAACUACUCUUACUACUUACCACUCUACCAGGGAAUUAGCAAUUGAGAAGCCCUGAACAGUUUCACAUUUAUGGUAGAAGUGGAAAGCUAUGGACACACUGGCAAAGAGUAAGGCAAAAGAGAUAUCAGACCCUGGAGUUGCUGGAGCAGGUGAAACAGAUAGACGUGUCUUGUCGACAUAUCUCAGAAGUAAAUGGGCUGAUAUUAGCAUGAGACUAAUACAAAAUGCAGCAGUACACAGAAGGCUGGAGAGAAAUGCACCUAAAAAUCUCAGUAAUCUGAAAGGAGAUGAGGGUUUCAUGUCUUUUGUUCAGAGUUUUGUCCCCUGACAGUGACUCAUGACCAGUUUUCAAUACAACCUCAAAAUAUAUUUUUGUGGGUCAAGUUUUGGGAACAGGAAUGUAAGAGUAAUUAUAAA